rnacentral:rRNA from 1 species
GAUGAACGCUGGCGGCGUGCCUAAUACAUGCAAGUCGAGCGAACAGAUAAGGAGCUUGCUCCUUUGACGUUAGCGGCGGACGGGUGAGUAACACGUGGGUAACCUACCUAUAAGACUGGGAUAACUUCGGGAAACCGGAGCUAAUACCGGAUAACAUUUGGAACCGCAUGGUUCUAAAGUGAAAGAUGGUUUUGCUAUCACUUAUAGAUGGACCCGCGCCGUAUUAGCUAGUUGGUACGGUAACGGCUUACCAAGGCGACGAUACGUAGCCGACCUGAGAGGGUGAUCGGCCACACUGGAACUGAGACACGGUCCAGACUCCUACGGGAGGCAGCAGUAGGGAAUCUUCCGCAAUGGGCGAAAGCCUGACGGAGCAACGCCGCGUGAGUGAUGAAGGGUUUCGGCUCGUAAAACUCUGUUAUUAGGGAAGAACAAAUGUGUAAGUAACUGUGCACGUCUUGACGGUACCUAAUCAGAAAGCCACGGCUAACUACGUG